CCGACAGACAGAAAAUGGUUACCCUCAGAAGAACAGACAAACUUGUUGGGGACUUUUCGUGUCACAUUAAAUCAUACCCAGGAACCUACUUUGCAUGCAAACCUUUCGUCGCUUCUGACUCAAACUCCAGGGACCGUAGAGGUGGCAGACGGCAGCAAUGUGACCCUUACCUGUAACCACUAUGAAGUGCUAACCUACUGCCAUGCCAUCACCUGGGUAAAGGUAGAGCCAGUGAAGGGUGAGGUGAGAACUGGAACCCGUAUCAAAGA